GGAGCUGUGCGAGGAGAGUACCGAGGAGGGGGUCGGCGGGAGAGGAGAUAGGACUCAAGAGUAGCCUUCCUCGAGGACCUGCCUUUCCCAUUUGCUGCCUGAAGUUAAUGUUUCUUGCUGGCCAAAUCAGGGACAUGCUGGCAUUAGCGGGAUGAGUGGGUGUUCCGGCAGGGAUGUGGUCAUUGACGGCCAGUGAGGGCGAGAGUACCACGGCCCACUUCUUCCUUGGAGCUGGAGAUGAGGGGCUGGGCACCCGUGGAAUAGGCAUGAGGCCAGAAGAGAGUGACAGCGAGCUCCUUGAGGAUGAGGAGGAUGAAGUGCCUCCUGAACCUCAGAUCAUUGUUGGCAUCUGUGCCAUGACCAAGAAAUCCAAGUCCAAGCCAAUGACUCAAAUCCUAGAGCGACUCUGCAGAUUUGACUACCUGACUGUUAUCAUUCUGGGAGAAGAUGUAAUCCUUAAUGAACCUGUGGAAAACUGGCCAUCCUGCCACUGCCUCAUCUCUUUCCACUCCAAAGGCUUUCCUCUGGACAAAGCUGUUGCUUACUCCAAGCUUCGAAACCCCUUUCUUAUCAAUGAUCUGGCCAUGCAGUAUUACAUCCAAGAUAGGAGGGAGGUGUACCGGAUCCUGCAGGAAGAGGGUAUUGAUCUGCCUCGAUAUGCUGUGCUCAACCGUGAUCCUGCCCGGCCUGAGGAAUGCAACCUGAUAGAAGGUGAAGACCAAGUAGAGGUCAAUGGAGCUGUCUUUCCCAAGCCCUUUGUGGAGAAGCCAGUGAGUGCAGAAGACCACAAUGUUUACAUCUACUACCCCAGCUCAGCUGGAGGAGGAAGCCAGCGUCUCUUUCGUAAGAUUGGCAGCCGAAGCAGUGUUUACUCACCUGAGAGCAGCGUCCGAAAGACGGGAUCGUACAUCUAUGAGGAGUUUAUGCCAACAGAUGGCACAGAUGUCAAGGUGUAUACAGUGGGGCCAGAUUAUGCCCAUGCUGAAGCUAGAAAAUCUCCAGCUUUGGAUGGGAAGGUUGAACGAGACAGUGAGGGGAAAGAGAUUCGAUAUCCAGUCAUGCUGACUGCCAUGGAAAAGCUGGUGGCCAGGAAAGUCUGCGUAGCUUUCAAGCAAACAGUUUGUGGAUUUGACCUUCUUCGUGCCAAUGGUCAUUCCUUUGUGUGUGAUGUCAAUGGCUUUAGUUUUGUCAAGAACUCGAUGAAAUACUACGAUGACUGUGCCAAGAUUCUGGGGAACACCAUAAUGCGGGAGCUUGCCCCACAGUUCCAGAUUCCAUGGUCCAUCCCCACGGAGGCUGAGGACAUUCCCAUUGUUCCCACCACAUCUGGCACUAUGAUGGAACUUCGUUGUGUCAUUGCAAUUAUUCGUCAUGGGGAUCGUACUCCCAAGCAGAAGAUGAAGAUGGAAGUGAAACACCCAAGGUUUUUUGCUCUGUUUGAAAAACAUGGUGGCUACAAGACAGGAAAAUUAAAACUCAAGCGACCUGAGCAGCUCCAGGAGGUGCUGGAUAUCACAAGGCUGUUGUUGGCUGAACUGGAGAAAGAACUAGGUGGUGAGAUCGAGGAGAAGACUGGAAAACUAGAGCAGCUGAAGUCUGUAUUGGAGAUGUAUGGUCACUUCUCAGGUAUAAACCGGAAGGUACAAUUGACUUACUACCCUCAUGGAGUAAAAGCUUCUAAUGAGGGGCAAGAUCCACAGAGGGAAACUCUGGCCCCAUCUCUGUUGCUGGUACUGAAGUGGGGUGGAGAACUGACUCCUGCUGGCCGUGUUCAGGCUGAGGAGCUGGGGCGAGCUUUUUGCUGCAUGUACCCUGGAGGACAGGGUGACUAUGCUGGCUUCCCUGGUUGUGGGCUGCUUCGUCUCCAUAGCACUUUCCGCCACGAUCUCAAGAUCUAUGCCUCUGAUGAGGGUCGUGUUCAGAUGACUGCUGCUGCCUUCGCCAAGGGCCUUCUGGCUCUAGAAGGGGAGCUGACACCCAUUUUGGUGCAAAUGGUGAAGAGUGCCAACAUGAAUGGGCUACUGGACAGCGAUGGGGAUUCCUUGAGCAGCUGCCAGCACCGGGUGAAGGCUCGGCUGCACCAUAUUCUACAGCAGGAUGCGCCCUUUGGCCCUGAGGACUACGAUCAGCUGGCUCCCACCAGAAGUACUUCCCUGCUCAACUCCAUGACUAUCAUCCAGAAUCCUGUGAAGGUCUGUGAUCAGGUAUUUGCCCUGAUCGAAAACCUCACCCACCAGAUCCGGGAACGAAUGCAGGACCCCAGGUCUGUAGACCUGCAGCUCUACCACAGUGAGACACUAGAGCUAAUGCUACAGCGUUGGAGCAAGCUGGAGCGUGACUUUCGACAGAAGAGUGGGCGCUAUGAUAUCAGUAAGAUCCCUGACAUCUAUGACUGUGUCAAGUAUGAUGUGCAGCACAAUGGGAGUCUGGGACUUCAAGGCACAGCAGAGUUGCUCCGUCUCUCUAAGGCACUGGCUGAUGUGGUCAUUCCCCAGGAGUACGGGAUCAGUCGGGAGGAGAAACUGGAAAUUGCUGUGGGCUUCUGUCUUCCACUGUUGCGGAAGAUACUACUUGACCUGCAGAGAACCCACGAGGAUGAGUCUGUCAACAAGCUGCAUCCCCUGUACUCCCGAGGCGUGCUCUCCCCAGGUCGCCACGUUCGAACGCGUCUCUAUUUCACCAGUGAGAGCCAUGUCCACUCUCUGCUCAGUGUCUUCCGUUAUGGAGGACUUCUUGAUGAGACCCAGGAUGCACAAUGGCAGCGAGCUUUGGAUUAUCUUAGUGCCAUCUCAGAGCUUAACUACAUGACCCAGAUUGUCAUCAUGCUUUAUGAGGACAACACACAGGAUCCCUUAUCAGAGGAACGGUUCCAUGUGGAGCUACACUUCAGCCCCGGAGUGAAAGGUGUUGAGGAAGAAGGCAGUGCCCCGGCUGGCUGUGGAUUCCGUCCAGCCUCUUCUGAGAAUGAGGAGAUGAAAACCAACCAAGGGAGUAUGGAGAACCUGUGUCCAGGAAAGGCAUCAGAUGAACCAGACCGGGCAUUGCAGACUUUACCCCAGCCUGCUGAGGGCCCUGGCCUCCCGAGGAGAUCACCCCUCAUUCGUAACCGAAAAGCUGGUUCCAUGGAGGUACUUUCUGAGACUUCAUCCUCGAGGCCUGGCGGCUACCGGCUCUUUUCAUCUUCACGGCCACCCACAGAAAUGAAGCAGAGUGGCCUAGGUACUCUUUUCGUUUGGACAGAGGUAUCUGCCGGUACUGAGAUGUAAGUGAUCAGCUGAAGGGAGAAACUGUACACCAUGUGACGGACAAAUUGCCUGCCUCAAGAAAGCACUUAGGACCAUUCUGCAGCCACUCAGUGACCUUGGCUAGAAACCAAUGGCUGUGCGGCAUGAGAUCCUUCCCGCCAGAAGAAACUUGUACUGGGAGAUCAACACCAGCUAGUGCGUUUCUCUAUAAAGCCUCAACGUAUAGGACAGAUUUCACAUGCCCAGAGGCUGUUGAGCAGGUUUCAUGUGCGCUGCAGUCAGAGGCCACCUCUUUCUUUGUGGGCCGGAUGGGUCCUUGAGUGUCCUCUCUUCAAAAACUUCAUCAUCUUCCUGGUCUUUUUGAAUACGAUCGUAUUGAUGGUUGAAAUAGAAUUGCUGGAAUCCACAAAUACCAAACUAUGGCCAUUGAAGCUGACCUUGGAGGUGGCAGCUUGGUUUAUCUUGCUUAUUUUCAUCCUGGAGAUCCUUCUUAAGUGGCUAUCCAACUUUUCUGUUUUCUGGAAGAGUGCCUGGAAUGUCUUUGACUUUGUUGUUACCAUGUUGUCCCUGCUUCCCGAGGUUGUGGUAUUGGUAGGGGUAACAGGCCAAUCGGUGUGGCUUCAGCUUCUGAGGAUCUGCCGGGUGCUGAGGUCUCUCAAACUCCUUGCACAAUUCCGUCAAAUUCGAAUUAUUAUUUUGGUCCUGGUCAGGGCCCUCAAGAGCAUGACCUUCCUCUUGAUGUUGCUGCUCAUCUUCUUCUACAUUUUUGCUGUGACUGGUGUCUACGUCUUCUCAGAGUACACCCGUUCACCUCGUCAGGACCUGGAGUAUCAUGUGUUCUUCUCGGACCUCCCGAAUUCCCUGGUAACAGUGUUCAUUCUCUUCACCUUGGAUCAUUGGUAUGCACUGCUUCAGGACGUCUGGAAGGUGCCUGAAGUCAGUCGCAUCUUCAGCAGCAUCUAUUUCAUCCUUUGGUUGUUGCUUGGCUCCAUUAUCUUUCGAAGUAUCAUAGUAGCCAUGAUGGUUACUAACUUUCAGAAUAUCAGGAAAGAGCUGCAUGAGGAGAUGGCGCGUCGGGAGGUUCAGCUCAAAGCUGACAUGUUCAAGCGGCAGAUCAUCCAGAGGAGAAAAAACAUGUCGCAUGAAGCACUGACGUCAAGCCAUAGCAAAAUAGAGGACAGAGGAGCUAGUCAACAAAGGGAAAGUUUGGACUUAUCAGAAGUGUCUGAAGUAGAGUCUAAUUAUGGUGCCACUGAAGAGGAUUUAAUAACAUCUGCAUCAAAAACAGAAGAGACCUUGUCAAAAAAGAGAGAGUACCAGUCUUCCUCCUGUGUCUCCUCCACAUCCUCUUCCUAUUCUUCCUCUUCUGAAUCCAGAUUUUCUGAAUCUAUUGGUCGUUUGGACUGGGAGACUCUUGUGCACGAAAAUCUGCCCGGGCUAAUGGAAAUGGAUCAGGAUGACCGUGUUUGGCCCAGAGACUCACUCUUCCGAUAUUUUGAGUUGCUAGAAAAGCUUCAGUAUAACCUAGAGGAACGUAAGAAGUUACAAGAGUUUGCAGG